UCUGCAUGGACGCGCUGGUGGACCAGACGCUGCCGACGGACGCGCGCGGAAAGUACAGCGCGUACGUGGGCGCGGACGAGCCGUGCUGCGUGCUCACGGGACAGCCGCUCGGCGCGCGCCUGGUCACCUUUACCAACGGUACCGUGCACGACUGCACUAUAUACGCUCUUUCUUUUUGGCUCUCUCUUUGUCAUUACAAAACGGGUCAUUCUUGUCACACGAUGUAGCGUAGUUGUUCCUGUAUACAUCUAGCCUUAAAGACCUUACAUUAACCACAUAAAAAA
rnacentral:misc_RNA from 1 species